GAUGAACGCUGGCGGCGUGCCUAAUACAUGCAAGUCGAGCGACUGGAUUAAGAGCUUGCUCUUAUGAAGUUAGCGGCGGUCGGGUGAGUAACACGUGGGUAACCUGCCCAUAAGACUGGGAUAACUCCGGGAAACCGGGGCUAAUACCGGAUAACAUUUUGAACCGCAUGGUUCGAAAUUGAAAGGCGGCUUCGGCUGUCACUUAUGGAUGGACGCGCGUCGCAUUAGGCAGUUGGUGAGGUAACGGCUCACCAAGGCAACGAUGCGUAGCCGACCUGGGAGGGUGAUCUGCCACACUGGGACUGAGACACGGCCCAGACUCCUACGGGAGGCAGCAGUAGGGCAUCUUCCGCAAUGGACGAGAGUCUGACGGAGCAACGCCGCGUGAGUGAUGAAGGCUUUCGGGUCGUAAAACUCUGUUGUUAGGGAAGAACAAGUGCUAGUUGAAUAAGCUGGCACCUUGACGGUACCUAACCAGAAAGCCACGGCUAACUACGUGCCAGCAGCCGCAGUAA
rnacentral:rRNA from 1 species